rnacentral:rRNA from 1 species
CCUACGGGAGGCAGCAGUGGGGGAUAUUGCACAAUGGGGGGAACCCUGAUGCAGCGACGCCGCGUGGGUGAAGAAGCGCCUCGGCGCGUAAAGCCCUUUCAGCAGGGAAGAAAAUGACGGUACCUGAAGCAGAAGCCCCGGCUAACUACGUGCCAGCAGCCGCGGUAAUACGUAGGGGGCAAGCGUUAUCCGGAUUUACUGGGUGUAAAGGGGGCGCAGACGGCGAUGCAAGCCAGGAGUGAAAGCCCGGGGCCCAACCCCGGGACUGCUCUUGGAACUGCGUGGCUGGAGUGCAGGAGGGGCAGGCGGAAUUCCUGGUGUAGCGGUGAAAUGCGUAGAUAUCAGGAGGAACACCGGUGGCGAAGGCGGCCUGCUGGACUGCAACUGACGUUGAGGCCCGAAAGCGUGGGGAGCAAACAGGAUUAGAUACCCUUGUAGUC